rnacentral:rRNA from 1 species
GCAUGUCUAAGUAUAAGCACUUUAUACUGUGAAACUGCGAAUGGCUCAUUAAAUCAGUUAUCGUUUAUUUGAUAGUACCUUACUACAUGGAUACCUGUGGUAAUUCUAGAGCUAAUACAUGCUGAAAACCUCGACUUCGGAAGGGGUGUAUUUAUUAGAUAAAAAACCAAUGCCCUUCGGGGCUCCUUGGUGAAUCAUAAUAACUUAACGAAUCGCAUGGCCUUGCGCCGGCGAUGGUUCAUUCAAAUUUCUGCCCUAUCAACUUUCGAUGGUAGGAUAGUGGCCUACCAUGGUGGCAACGGGUAACGGGGAAUUAGGGUUCGAUUCCGGAGAGGGAGCCUGAGAAACGGCUACCACAUCCAAGGAAGGCAGCAGGCGCGCAAAUUACCCAAUCCCGACACGGGGAGGUAGUGACAAUAAAUACUGAUACGGGGCUCUUUUGGGUCUCGUAAUUGGAAUGAGUACAAUCUAAAUCCCUUAACGAGGAACAAUUGGAGGGCAAGUCUGGUGCCAGCAGCCGCGGUAAUUCCAGCUCCAAUAGCGUAUAUUAAAGUUGUUGCAGUUAAAAAGCUCGUAGUUGAACCUUGGGUCUGGCUGGCCGGUCCGCCUCACCGCGAGUACUGGUCCGGCUGGACCUUUCCUUCUGGGGAAUCUCAUGGCCUUCACUGGCUGUGGGGGGAACCAGGACUUUUACUGUGAAAAAAUUAGAGUGUUCAAAGCAGGCCUUUGCUCGAAUACAUUAGCAUGGAAUAAUAGAAUAGGACGUGCGGUUCUAUUUUGUUGGUUUCUAGGACCGCCGUAAUGAUUAAUAGGGAUAGUCGGGGGCGUCAGUAUUCAGCUGUCAGAGGUGAAAUUCUUGGAUUUGCUGAAGACUAACUACUGCGAAAGCAUUCGCCAAGGAUGUUUUCAUUAAUCAGGGAACGAAAGUUAGGGGAUCGAAGACGAUCAGAUACCGUCGUAGUCUUAACCAUAAACUAUGCCGACUAGGGAUCGGACGGUGUUUCUAUUAUGACCCGUUCGGCACCUUACGAGAAAUCAANNUUUUUNGGUNCUGGGGG